UACGUAGGGUGCGAGCGUUGUCCGGAAUUAUUGGCGUAAAGAGCUCGUAGGCGGUCUGUCGCGUCGAAUGUGAAAACCCGGGGCUCAACUCCGGGCUUGCAUUCGAUACGGGCAGGCUAGAGUUCGGUAGGGGAGUCUGGAAUUCCUGGUGUAGCGGUGAAAUGCGCAGAUAUCUAGGAGGAACACCGGUGGCGAAGGCGGGACUCUGGGCCGAUACUGACGCUGAGGAGCGAAAGCGUGGGGAGCGAACAGG
rnacentral:rRNA from 1 species